GGCGGGCAAGACGUGAUGCGCAUGCGCGGCGCAUGACGUUGGCGCUUAUGAUGCUAGCCGCCUAGCCCGGCAGUGUUCAGGGCGGGACGUUGUUGGAGGCUGCGUUUUAGGAACGUGCGUAAACGGCUUCUCCUGCAUUGGUUUAAUGCCCCCGCAGCCGGCUCCUGGUAGCGUUGGCGAUUGGCCGCGGCAGGCGCCUGCCCCAAAGCUCAGGGAGGUGGCGGGGAAGCCUCCUGCUGACGCCAGAGGGCCCGUCAGCCGGUCCUGUGUCCCCACAGACUGGGCCCCUGAGCAGCCCCAUUCCCCGCAGUGGCGAUCCUGCCAGGCUGCCCCACGCCUGCGGGGUGUGAUCAGGUUCACCUCCGCUCUCCUUUCUGCAACGCCCAGGGGCUCGGCACUGGGGCAGGGGAGCCUCACAUCCCCGAUCCCUCAAGUGACCUCUUCUGGGAAGCCGAGGAGCCCGCUGGGCAUGGGGUGGGGCAGUGCAUGCCCCUCUGCCCCAGCCGGCGCAGGCCCUAACCCCACCAGCUAUCCUGUUGUUAUUUGGGAAGCCCCAAAUCGGUUUCUGUUGUUGCCCUUGUAGUGGGUGAUGGCCCAGUAAAAUUCAAGUUCAAAAGCUUUGCUUGACUUCCAGUUUCAAAGAACAGAAAAAUAUUUGCAAAAAAAAGCAGAGAACAGACAGUUUUUUCAAUAGUCUGGGAUUCCAAAUGAUUGUGCGGGACAACUAAAGAUAUAACAGGAACGGGAGUGAGAUCACAGGGCUAAACGAAGGGAACCUGAUGGGGACACAGAGCAGAGAACCCCGGACAGCACCCACUGCUCCUUGCCGGUGUCAAAGGAGUCAGCAGACGCCGCCCAGAAGAACUCUGCCCAGAUACGUGAACAGACUGAGGAGUGGAAAUAGGCCCAGCAGUCACAGGAAACCCCGUCGGCCAACCUCCUCUCCCUAGUUUUGUAGAUGGCCAUUUUGGCCAGGGCUAGGAGGAGGUUGACCAGGGGGUCACGUCACUUUGUGUGGUUGUGGUAGGACUGUGUUUCUGACCUGCCUUCUAAGAGCUAAAAUCACUGAGAGCUGAAAUCAGCUGAGAGGGGGCAGUGUUUCUGCCCAGCCUGCAAAAGAGCUGAAAAUCACUGAGAGACUGAUGUGCAGAGGUCACAGCAGAGAUGCAGAAGGUGACUGACAGUCAGCUGGUGAAUGAGCGACCAGCAGGGCGGCAGCGGAGAGGCGUGAGGAGCGGCUACCAGGGUGGCAGAGGAGAGGCGCGACGAGCAGCCGGCUGGUGGAGGGGCAUGGUGAGAGUGGUGAGCAGGUGGCCGGUGAGCGGCCAGCAGAGUGAGUAAGAUGCCUUUUUACCCCCAACCCCCAGGGUAAGAGGUGAACUCUGCAGAUACACCUCUGAACUCUCGGUCUGCACUGACUAAGGACAGCAACUGUGAGUGGGGUGCAGAGAAGGGUCGUGCAUGUGAAAGGGACUUUUGGGUUGGAUUAAGAACUUGAGGGGAAAAGGGCACUGCCCAACCUACUUGGGGGUGGGUCUUUUACUCAUGGUAUAUGUUCAUGAACCUGUUUGCGGUGUUUUUCCCAAAUUAACUCUGAGUUACUUCCCUCCUUUUAUUAAAAGUUUAUUUUCUACA